GCCAGACUCCUACGGGAGGCAGCAGUGGGGAAUAUUGCGCAAUGGACGAAAGUCUGACGCAGCGACGCCGCGUGAGGGAUGAAGGUUUUCGGAUCGUAAACCUCUGUCAGGAGGGAAGAAAGCGCAUGGCGCCAAUCAGCCAUGCGUUGACGGUACCUCCAAAGGAAGCGCCGGCUAACUCCGUGCCAGCAGCCGCGGUAAUACGGAGGGCGCGAGCGUUAUCCGGAUUUAUUGGGUUUAAAGGGUGCGCAGGCGGAAGAUCAAGUCAGCGGUAAAAUUGAGAGGCUCAACCUCUUCGAGCCGUUGAAACUGGUUUUCUUGAGUGAGCGAGAAGUAUGCGGAAUGCGUGGUGUAGCGGUGAAAUGCAUAGAUAUCACGCAGAACUCCGAUUGCGAAGGCAGCAUACCGGCGCUCAACUGACGCUCAUGCACGAAAGUGUGGGUAUCGAGCAGGAUUAGAUACCCGAGUA
rnacentral:rRNA from 1 species